CCCAGACUCCUACGGGAGGCAGCAGUGGGGAAUAUUGCACAAUGGGGGGAACCCUGAUGCAGCGACGCCGCGUGGGUGAAGGAGCACCUCGGUGCGUAAAGCCCUAUCGGCAGGGAAGAAACAGACGGUACCUGACUAAGAAGCCCCGGCUAACUACGUGCCAGCAGCCGCGGUAAUACGUAGGGGGCAAGCGUUAUCCGGGUUCACUGGGGGUAAAGGGAGCGUAGACGGCGACGCAAGUCUGGAGUGAAAGGCCCGGGGCCAACCCCGGGACUGCUCUGGAAACUGCGUCGCUGGAGUACGGGAGGGGCAGGCGGAAUUCCUGGUGUAGCGGUGAAAUGCGUAGAUAUCAGGAGGAACACCGGCGGCGAAGGCGGCCUGCUGGACCGUGACUGACGUUGAGGCUCGAGAGCGUGGGGAGCAAACAGGAUUAGAUACCCUAGUAACG
rnacentral:rRNA from 1 species